AUAGUACGAGAAAGCAAUUAAGAGUUAAUAGAGGACAGUAUUAGGCAUACAAUCAUCCAAAAUAUGGUUGAAAUUUAAAACUUAAAUACAAGAUUGAGAGUUCUCCAAAAUACAAGACAACUAAAGGUCUAAGGGUGCCUAAAGAGUAAUUCCAAAAUACAGAUCAUGAGAAGUAAAAGCUAGAAGUCUUUCAAAAUGAGAGUUAUCUAAAUAAGACUAUAGGAAAUCUAAGAAGUAGGAGCUGGGUCUCCUUCAGUCUCCAACACUUGCUCCAAAGGCACCUCAUCAUCAACUUCUGCUCACAUCCAAGGAUUUGGAUGAUCAUCGCAAGGGGAAAAUCACACACAUACAAAACACACAAUUGCAAGGGUAAGUUAGGUAUAAAAAGCAUGUUAUAAAUCAAGUAUUUCAAGCAUGUAAUGACAAUAAUACAACAAAAACUGUAAUUGAAUUCAUUUUAUUGAUACCAAGGACAAACCACGUGAUUUGACCGUCCGGACUAGUAUGAAAUGUCGAGUUCCAGGGGUUUAUGCACUUGUGGUGGCCCUACUGCUUUGCAAAGCCAUUGCCGAGGGGUUUCACCCGACCACACACAAGUGUAAGUCCAACCAAACUCAUCUUGGCCCAUAUAAAAUGGAGACACCCAAGACUAGGACCUCCUCCUAUUCUCACCACAUGACUCAUCACUCUCUAAUUGAGCAUGGAUGGUCAUUAGAAUGUCAAGGUAAACCCCAUCCUGAACUCCGGCCAUUCAUACGGUCAAUCACAACAACUACAGGGCACCACCAUGUAACCUCCCUUGAGGAUCAUCGAAUUAUGUCCAAUAACCAUACUUUUAAAUUUUGACACACCACUCAUGAUUUUCAACGUUCAUACACUUGUACAUAAUUAUACACUGUUAUUUGAAUCUAUACAAGAUAAUAUAUAAUUCAUACAUACUCCAACAUUACAUACUUUUGCAGAAACACCACUUAUUAACACAAAUUUCUUUAUAACCUUUAAUUACCAAUACCUAAGUAAUUCAAAUGGCUUGGAGACCCUUGCCAAUGGAUCCGGAAGGGUCAAAAACCCCCCAGAACGACCUAAAGAAUGUCCAAAACGGACGUCCGGAACUCCCAAAACGUCAAAAACAUCAAAAAUACUCACUCUGCCGCAGGAAAUUCGCUGAGCGCACACCCUGUGGUGCGCUGUGCGAAUUUCUUCUGCCAGUAGCCCUUCGCAGAGCGCACAAAGUGCGCUGUGCGACUCUGCAUAAUCUGCAGAGCGAAUUUCUGCAGAUUUUAGGAACUCACCCACCCAAAACUCAUUAUAGGCCAUUUAGUGAACUUCUAACACUCCUAAUUCGAAGUAUGGUUGAUUUUAAACUUGUUUAAAGGCUCACAUACAUUCCUAACUCAAAAUUCUAAAAGAUAUGCAGAGAUUUAUGAUCAAAAGUUCACUUCUAUUUAAUUUUGGAGCUAUGAUUGUGAAUUACCUAUUCUAAACUAUUUUUAGUCAUUUUAAGAACUUAGAUAAGUCCAAACCAAUGUUUCUAAAUUAUNUAUCCUGGUCACUACUCUCUAAAACACCUAAUAAUGAAAUUGACUAUCCUAGUUCCUCUAAUUUGACACUAACUAUCCCCUCUUUUCCUUGAACCAUAANUAAAUAACUCAAGUGCAGAAUUAACNUCCUACAACAAUUAAAUCAACUUUAAAANCAUUAAAAUUCAUAUUUACUAACAAUCCAGUAUCUCAAGAACUUAGAACAAUCAAUUUCACAUACAAACCACAUACCUUUAUUUCAAAUAGCAUCCUUGCUCAAACAAAUUAUACAUGCAUUCUUCUACCACUACUACAAACAACAAUUUCAUUCAUAAUUUUUAUAAAACAUAAAACAAAAUAUGAGAUCCAGCUUCCCUUACCUUGAUGGUGUUACAGCUCAAACUCAAUGGAAUUUAUAGUGCUUGAAACGCCGAGAUGAGUUUGCUAGAAUUUUACCUAAAUCAAAAGAUUGAGAAAGGGGGAUACUUUUCAGAAUCUAAAAGGGAAAUAGGAUUUGGGGAAAACAAUUACAUGGAGUUACAUGCAGCAAGAUUGCCUACAUGCAGUCCAGAUUGUUUGCAUGUUCUCAACUCAAGAGAAACUGAAGAAAUUUCACUUACCAGGAGAGGAAACUAAACUGGUUCGAUGGGCUGUUGUUCCGAUCUCACAGUUGCCUAAACGUUUUCUGGUAAGAGGAGCAAUUGAAUUCAGUGAAAGGAUUUCAGAACAAGGAUGUAAGAGGAAUCAAGGAGGGAAGGGAAAAAUAGAGGGGAGAACACGUUGCUUGCAUCUGC
rnacentral:lncRNA from 1 species